rnacentral:rRNA from 1 species
AUGCUGAAGUCUUACAUGCCCCCUGCAAGCCCGAUGCAUGUUUUCGUCCGUCAAUACAUGAGGCUACAAUUCGACCGUGAGCGUGAUGAAAGCUACGAGGAGAAGAGAACAAUGAUUGGCGGGGCUAUGCGGCGGACUAACCUUGCAAUAGAGCGGCAUGCAAGGAAAAUAUAUACUAGGAAUAUGUUUGAGGAAUUUGGCCGCCUACUAAUAGAAGGAACUGCAUACAAUGUUUCUGAAAAAGAAAAUAUGAAAAAAUAUAUAACAACUCACAAUAAUGCAGCCAAACGAGAGAAGUGGUGCAGGGUGGAGUACGAGGUGACAGUUAACGAAGACAAAUCAAUAUUCACGUGCGAGUGUGGACAGUUUGAGCAUACAGGCAUGCUUUGCUGCCAUGCUUUGAGGGUGAUGGAGAUUUUGCAUCUGGAUGAAGUCCCUAAGUACCAUAUCCUGAAAAGGUGGACAAGAGAUGCUAGGGAUGUACUCCCGGAGCACCUGGUUCAGUACCAGAACGACAAAUUGCAUAAUUUGUCAUUCACUUACAGGCAUUCAACAUUAUAUUUUAAAGCCAUGGAAGCUGUUCGGAUGGGGGACGCAAGUGCUGCAUGCUAUGAGUAUAUGAAUUCUGGACUGGACUCCCUGCUGCGGGGUGGAGCACCUCUGGCGGUCGUGCGGGAUGGAUUGGCAUUCGAGGAUAAUCUCCUUGACAGUGGGAAUGGUGGUGCAGCGUGCAAGGACCAGAUUGCUAUUGCAGAUCAGGAGGAUGAGCAAUGCAAUAGUGCUGUGAAUUCUGUGGGCAUGAAUGAACUUCACUGCCUCGCAGCACCAGAAAAGCGUAGAGCUGCUGGCAGGCCGACGAGCAGCAGGGAGAAGGCACCAUACGAAGGGCUGAAUAAGAGAACCAGGUUCUGCAGCAUUUGCCGCCGCGAGGGGCACAAGAGGACAACAUGUCCAGACCGAGGGGAUGCUCCGAAGAAGCCACGGAAACCAGGCAAAUGCAAGAACUGCGGAACAGAGGGACACCGGCGGAACACAUGCAAGAGGCCUCUUGGGUUUGCCGAGAGCUGA